UACGAAGGGGGGCUAGCGUUGCUCGGAAUGACUGGGCGUAAAGGGCGCGUAGGCGGAUUGCUUUGUCAGACGUGAAAUUCCAGGGCUCAACCUUGGGGCUGCGUUUGAGACGGGUGAUCUUGAGUUCGGAAGAGGGUCGUGGAAUUCCCAGUGUAGAGGUGAAAUUCGUAGAUAUUGGGAAGAACACCGGUGGCGAAGGCGGCGACCUGGUCCAAGACUGACGCUGAGGCGCGAGAGCGUGGGGAGCAAACAGG
rnacentral:rRNA from 1 species